rnacentral:rRNA from 1 species
AGCGAACGCUGGCGGCAGGCUUAACACAUGCAAGUCGAACGGGCGUAGCAAUACGUCAGUGGCAGACGGGUGAGUAACGCGUGGGAACGUACCUUUUGGUUCGGAACAACACAGGGAAACUUGUGCUAAUACCGGAUAAGCCCUUACGGGGAAAGAUUUAUCGCCGAAAGAUCGGCCCGCGUCUGAUUAGCUAGUUGGUGAGGUAACGGCUCACCAAGGCGACGAUCAGUAGCUGGUCUGAGAGGAUGAUCAGCCACAUUGGGACUGAGACACGGCCCAAACUCCUACGGGAGGCAGCAGUGGGGAAUAUUGGACAAUGGGCGCAAGCCUGAUCCAGCCAUGCCGCGUGAGUGAUGAAGGCCCUAGGGUUGUAAAGUUCUUUCGGUCCGGGAAGAAAUCGUAUGGGUUAAUACCCUGUGCGGAUGACGGUACCGGCAUAAGAAGCACCGGCUAACUACGUG